GAUCCCGUGGUCUAGUGGUUAUGACGUUCCCUUGACGUGGGAGAGAUCCCCGGUUCGAGUCCGGGCGGGAUCA
rnacentral:tRNA from 1 species